CAAGUACAUCUUCUGCGCAAAGCAAUAAUUUUGACUGGGACAAGUAUUUGAAAGAGACUGAUUCUGUAAGUGCACCUUCAGAAUACUUCAGACAGUCUAAGACUCCACCAACUAAUGAAUUCCAAGUUGGUAUGAAAUUGGAAGCCCGUGACCCUCGCAACAUCGGUUCAGUGUGUGUUGCUUCUGUUAUUGCAACUACUGGUGCCAGAUUACGUUUACGA